rnacentral:rRNA from 1 species
GACGAACGCUGGCGGCGUGCUUAACACAUGCAAGUCGAACGGAAAGGCCCUGCUUUUGUGGGGUGCUCGAGUGGCGAACGGGUGAGUAACACGUGAGUAACCUGCCCUUGACUUUGGGAUAACUUCAGGAAACUGGGGAUCAUACCGGGUAGGAGCUCCUGCUGCAUGGUGGUGGUUGGAAAGAUUCGGCGGUUGGGGCUGGACUCGCGGCUUAUCAGCUUGUUGGGGGGGUAGUGGCUUACCAAGGCUUUGACGGGUAGCCCGCCUGAGAGGGUGGCCGGCCACAAUGGGACUGCGAUACGGCCCAGACUCCUACGGGAGGCAGUAGUGGGGAAUAUUGCACAACGGGCGGAAGCCUGAUGCAGCAACGCCGCGUGCGGGAUGACGGCCUUCGGGUUGUAAACCGCUUUCUCCUGUGACGAAGCGUGAUUGACGGUAAUGGGUAAAGAAGCACCGGCUAACUACGUG